AUAUGCAUACACCAUUAAUGCACCAUAUCCAAUUAGAAAUACACAGUUAAACACACUUGGUCUAGAGUAGUACUGGGAUGGGUGACCUCUCGGGAAGUUAUAGUGUGUUGCAUGCU
rnacentral:rRNA from 1 species